UACGUAGGGUGCGAGCGUUGUCCGGAAUUAUUGGGCGUAAAGAGCUCGUAGGCGGCUUGUCGCGUCGGAUGUGAAAGCCCGGGGCUUAACUCCGGGUCUGCAUUCGAUACGGGCAGGCUAGAGUUCGGUAGGGGAGAUCGGAAUUCCUGGUGUAGCGGUGAAACGCGCAGAUAUCAGGAGGAACACCGGUGGCGAAGGCGGAUCUCUGGGCCGAUACUGACGCUGAGGAGCGAAAGCGUGGGGAGCAAACAGG
rnacentral:rRNA from 1 species